AACGUAGGAGGCAAGCGUUAUCCGGAGUUACUGGGCGUAAAGAGUGCGUAGGCGGACCUGUAAGUGGGUGGUGAAAGCGCUCGGCUAAACCGGGCGAGGUUCAUUCAGACUGCAGGUCUAGAGGCGGAUAGAGGGGUGCGGAAUUCCGGGUGUAGCGGUGAAAUGUGUAGAGAUCCGGAGGAACACCAGUGGUGCAAACGGCGCCCUGGGUCCGAACUGACGCUGAAGCACGAAAGCGUGGGGAGCGAACGGG
rnacentral:rRNA from 1 species